rnacentral:lncRNA from 1 species
UUCCUGCAAGGAACCUUUUCAAGCAAACGUUUCCGCUAGGAACCUUUUAAAGCACACGUUUCCGCAAGGACCCUUUUAAAGGCAGAACACAACACCGCUACAGUCAAUGUUUGUGCCUUUACAUUGAACUCCUUUACAUCGCUGAAGACCGUGUGUCUCUAGCACAAAUCAUGUCAAAGUUAUGGCCAAUAUUACCGGAGCGAUGUUCUUUCUUCCUGCCGUGGAUUUGUGCGCCAGUCGCGGGGACGCUUUCAACUACUCACGAACAAUCCAUUUUUGGGGGGGGGGGUUGAUAACAAACGACAUUGUUUAGUUAGCAAGUCAUGUUACCUAGCCUGAUAUAACUGACCACUGACUAGGCUAUGCACAAAUUUGGAUGGCACAGGAAGAACAUGAAAAAGAAUGGGCUUCUCGAAGAGAAGCUUGUAACGUCUGCUUCCCAACUCAAACUCUCAAAAAAACGUAGAUCCCCCUGAACGCAGCUCACUCUCCAGAUCCCCGACACCUGUAUUCUGAUCACCUGUUCACACACCUCCUAUCGGAUUUCCUGUUAUCAACCUGUUGCCUGAUCACCCGGACAACGUUAGUAUCCUUUUCCCUGCCUGUAAUGUUACCUUUUUGGACCCCCUGUGUAUGACCUUCUGCCUGCCCCUGGACCCAGCUACCUGCCUCCUCCUGUGUAUGACCUUCUGCCUGCCCCUGGACCCAGCUACCUGCCCCUGGACCCAGCUACCUGCCUCCUCCUGUGUAUGACCUUCUGCCUGCCCCUGGACCCAGCUACCUACCUCCUGCUGUGUAUGACCUGCCUGCCCCUGGACCCAGCUACCUGCCUCCUCCUGUGUAUGACCUUCUGCCUGCCCCUGGACCCAGCUACCUGCCUCCUCCUGUGUAUGACCUUCUGCCUGCCCCUGGACCCAGCUACCUGCCCCUGGACCCAGCUACCUGCCUCCUCCUGUGUAUGACCUUCUGCCUGCCCCUGGACCCAGCUACCUACCUCCUGCUGUGUAUGACCUGCCUGCCCCUGGACCCAGCUACCUGCCUCCUCCUGUGUAUGACCUUCUGCCUGCCCCUGGACCCAGCUACCUGCCUCCUCCUGUGUAUGACCUUCUGCCUGCCCCUGGACCCAGCUUCCUGCCCCUGGACCCAGCUACCUGCCCCUGGACCCAGCUUCCUGCCCCUGGACCCAGCUUCCUGCCCCUGGACCCAGCUACCUGCCCCUGGACCCAGCUUCCUGCCCCUGGACCCAGCUUCCUGUCUCCUCCUGUGGUCCUUUACCUAUAAACACCUUCUGCACCCUGCUCUUGAAACCAGCUCUCUGUCUCCCAUCUUGUUCAUUACAAUGCUUCAAUGUUAGGCUGCAUAUGGAAGAGUGGGGUGAGGAUAUGUGAGAGCGGGAGUUUGUUUUGCAUGUCCCGGUGGGUGGAGAUUUCACUGAACCCUUAACCCUUAGCCAACAAUUUCCGCAGCCCCGCUGAAAUAGAAUUAACAUAAUAAUAAAAAAAUCCCUGGCAAAAUCUGUCUGUAACGCUAGAGAUAUCUGUUUUUUUCCCCCCUCAUCAAUCUACACACAAUACCCCCAUAAUGACGUCACAAUACCCCGUAAUGACGUCACAAUACCCCGUAAUGACAUCACAAUACCCCCAUAAUGACGUCACAAUACCCCGUAAUGACGUCACAAUACCCCGUAAUGACAUCACAAUACCCCCGUAAUGACGUCACAAUACCCCGUAAUGACAUCACAAUACCCCCGUAAUGACGUCACAAUACCCCCGUAAUGACAUCACAAUACCCCGUAAUGACAUCACAAUACCCCCGUAAUGACAUCACAAUACCCCGUAAUGACAUCACAAUACCCCCGUAAUGACAUCACAAUACCCCCUAAUGACGUCACAAUACCCCGUAAUGACGUCACAAUACCCCCGUAAUGACAUCACAAUACCCCCGUAAUGACGUCACAAUACCCCCGUAAUGACGUCACAAUACCCCCGUAAUGACAUCACAAUACCCCCGUAAUGACAUCACAAUACCCCCGUAAUGACAUCACAAUACCCCCGUAAUGACGAAGCAAUACCCCCAUAAUGACGUCACAAUACCCCCGUAAUGACAUCACAAUACCCCCGUAAUGACAUCACAAUACCCCCGUAAUGACAUCACAAUACCCCCGUAAUGACGAAGCAAUACCCCCAUAAUGACGUCACAAUACCCCCGUAAUGACAUCACAAUACCCCCGUAAUGACAUCACAAUACCCCCGUAAUGACAUCACAAUACCCCCGUAAUGACAUCACAAUACCCC